rnacentral:rRNA from 1 species
CGAGAUUCCCCCAGUAGCGGCGAGCGAACGGGGAGGAGCCCAGAGCCUGAAUCAGUGUGUGUGUUAGUGGAAGCGUCUGGAAAGGCGCGCGAUACAGGGUGACAGCCCCGUACACAAAAAUGCACAUACUGUGAGCUCGAUGAGUAGGGCGGGACACGUGGUAUCCUGUCUGAAUAUGGGGGGACCAUCCUCCAAGGCUAAAUACUCCUGACUGACCGAUAGUGAACCAGUACCGUGAGGGAAAGGCGAAAAGAA